AUUGAACGCUGGCGGCAUGCCUAACACAUGCAAGUCGAACGGGGGCAGCAAUGCCCUAGUGGCGGACGGGUGAGGAAUACGUAGGAACCGGCCCACGAGUGGGGGGACAACCUGGGGAAACCCAGGCUAAUACCGCAUACGCUCGCGAGAGGAAAGCGGGGGACCUUCGGGCCUCGCGCUGGUGGACGGGCCUACGUCCGAUUAGCUUGUUGGUGGGGUAAAAGCCUACCAAGGCGACGAUCGGUAGCUGGUCUGAGAGGAUGAUCAGCCACACUGGGACUGAGACACGGCCCAGACUCCUACGGGAGGCAGCAGUGGGGAAUAUGGACAAUGGGCGCAAGCCUGAUCCAGCAAUGCCGCGUGGGGUGAAAGAAGGCCUGCGGGUUGUAAAGCCCUUUAAGCGGGGAGGAAGGGUAGUAGCUUAAUACGUUGCUACUUUGACGUUACCGACAGAAUAAGCACCGGCUAACUCUGUGCCAGCAGCCG
rnacentral:rRNA from 1 species